UACAGCGGGGGCAAGCGUUGUUCGGAAUUACUGGGCGUAAAGGGCGCGUAGGCGGCCUGCUAAGUCGAACGUGAAAUCCCCGGGCUCAACCCGGGAACUGCGUCCGAUACUGGUGGGCUUGAAUCCGGGAGAGGGAUGUGGAAUUCCUGGUGUAGCGGUGGAAUGCGCAGAUAUCAGGAGGAACACCGGUGGCGAAGGCGGGUCUCUGGGCAGUAACUGACGCUGAGGAGCGAAAGCGUGGGGAGCGAACAGG
rnacentral:rRNA from 1 species